UUAAAGUCAGAUGUGAAAUCCCCCGGGCNUUAANCNGGGAACUGCAUUUGAAACUGGGCAGGCUUGAGUCUUGUAGAGGGGGGUAGNAAUUCCAGGUGUAGCGGUGAAAUGCGUAGAGAUCUGGAGGAAUACCGGUGGCGAAGGCGGCCCCCUGGACAAAGACUGACGCUCAGGUGCGAAAGCGUGGGGAGCAAACAGGAUUAGAUACCCCUGGUAGUCCACGCCGUAAACGAUGUCGACUUGGAGGUUGUUCCCUUGAGGAGUGGCUUCCGGAGCUAACGCGUUAAGUCGACCGCCUGGGGAGUACGGCCGCAAGGUUAAAACUCAAAUGAAUUGACGGGGGCCCGCACAAGCGGUGGAGCAUGUGGUUUAAUUCGAUGCAACGCGAAGAACCUUACCUACUCUUGACAUCCACGGAAUUCGGCAGAGAUGCCUUAGUGCCUUCGGGAACCGUGAGACAGGUGCUGCAUGGCUGUCGUCAGCUCGUGUUGUGAAAUGUUGGGUUAAGUCCCGCAACGAGCGCAACCCUUAUCCUUUGUUGCCAGCGAUUCGGUCGGGAACUCAAAGGAGACUGCCGGUGAUAAACCGGAGGAAGGUGGGGAUGACGUCAAGUCAUCAUGGCCCUUACGAGUAGGGCUACACACGUGCUACAAUGGCGCAUACAAAGAGAAGCGACCUCGCGAGAGCAAGCGGACCUCACAAAGUGCGUCGUAGUCCGGAUCGGAGUCUGCAACUCGACUCCGUGAAGUCGGAAUCGCUAGUAAUCGUGGAUCAGAAUGCCACGGUGAAUACGUUCCCGGGCCUUGUACACACCGCCCGUCACACCAUGGGAGUGGGUUGCAAAAGAAGUAGGUAGCUUAACCUUCGG
rnacentral:rRNA from 1 species